GCCCGCUCAGAAACUCAAAGGACUUGACGGGGCCCGCACAAGCGGUGGAGCAUGUGGUUUAAUUCGAUGAUACGCGAGGAACCUUACCUGGGCUCAAAUGUAUGUUGACGUAUUCUGAAAGGGAUACUUCUUCGGACAAUAUACAAGGUGCUGCAUGGUUGUCGUCAGCUCGUGCCGUGAGGUGUCGGGUUAAGUCCCAUAACGAGCGCAACCCCUAUCAUUAGUUGCCAUCAGGUUAAGCUGGGGACUCUAAAGGAACUGCCUACGCAAGUAGUGAGGAAGGCGGGGAUGACGUCAAAUCAGCACGGCCCUUACGUCCAGGGCUACACACGUGCUACAAUGGCCGAUACAGAGGGCAGCUACCUGGUGACAGGAUGCAAAUCUCCAAAGUCGGUCUCAGUUCGGAUCGGAGUCUGCAACCCGACUCCGUGAAGUUGGAUUCGCUAGUAAUCGCGCAUCAGCCAUGGCGCGGUGAAUACGUUCCCGGGCCUU
rnacentral:rRNA from 1 species